GGUGAUCAGGUAAUCCUCCUUCACCAGGUGAUCAGGUGAUCCUCCUUCACCAGGUGAUCAGAGCUCUCAGCAGUGCAGGUCACACUAACUUGACUAAGAUGGCCACAGUCUGCUACCUGAGCACAAACUUUACUGUGUACAGAGUUAAAUCAUCACAGUGAGGUGGAGCUACAGAGACAUCCAGAGGAUCAACACGGGAACUGCAGGGUGAACAGAGUGACGGCUUCCGGCUGUGAAACACUGAAGCAGGCUGGAUGAGAACAGAAAACUCUGUCAGGUAAGAAACUCUUUCUCAUUUCAGAUCGACUUUUAUAUUCUAUAUACUCUGACGUUUUUUCAUUUUUUAUGACUUUUUUUUCGACCUAUUUAUACUAUGACUUUUUUAUGACUUUUUU